CAUCUCUCGGGCUCCCCUUGCUCUUUCCUGCUUCAAGAGAAAAACAGAGAACAAGCUCUCAUCUUCUCCUCUCUCACUCCCCAAGCUUUGUGCUCCAUUCAAGUGAGAGAUUGAGCUCUAGUGAUAGAUCUGAGAGCUUCAAGAGCAUCUCCUCCCUCUCCUCUCCAUUCCCAUGGUUGGUUUUCUUUGGUGAGAGGAGUUGAGGAAACCCUAGUGUUCAUGCAUUUGUGAUUCAUAUUUGUGGCACUAGGUUGUGAUUGCAAUUGUGGAUUCCUU
rnacentral:lncRNA from 1 species